rnacentral:lncRNA from 1 species
UUAAAUUAAUAUAGCUAUUGAAAAAUUCUAAAUAUAUUUUAGAAAAUUACCUUACAAAUCAUCUCAAUUUUUAUAACCCCACCAAAGACCCAACUCCAAUACAAAUCCCUUUAGCUACCUUCAACAGAAAAAGGAAAAACGAGCAAGAGCUACAUUUGUUUCAGCUGAAAAAACAAAUCUUUGAAAAAGAAUUAAAAGAAGUAGCGUCUAGAUGCACAAGAGAGAGAGAAGCACGGGAGGGAUCCCCGUUUCUAAGAUGAAAAAGAUUCUCACAUUUUUUCCAUUCUCCAACAAGUGAGUUCGCGGGGCCGGAAUUUGCAUUCCGAACUCCCAUUUAUUCAGUAUAGAC